UGAAGAAGAAAAACUUUUGCUUUUUCUGAGAAAGAAAUAAGAGCUGAUUGGUAGUUUGGCUUCUUCUACUACAAGGCAAAAAGGUGUGAAAAAGACAUUUUAACUAGAGGAAAUGUGAUGAGCAUGAUUGGUAUGUAAAGGAAUGUAAAAUGUUUUUUUAGGAAUAGUGACUUAAACUUCACCCUUGUUUAAGCAAACUACCCCACCUCUUCUGUUUCUUAUUUCAUUCCAUUCUUUCACCUACUAUGAGCCACACCCACUUAUCGAAAUGGGAUGGCUGCAAUCCCUUUUCUCUCCAUUGAAGAAACUGUGGAUUCGUCUGCAUUCUGCUCAAAAGAAGAGUAGAGGGAUAUAUAUACUGUACGAGGAUGUCAAGUCCUGCCCCUAUGAAGACGUGCAUGUUCUUUGGUCCAUACUGGUGGAAUCACAUCCACUGGCAUUGCCACCGCCAAAAUGAUGUUCUCAUGUACAAAGAAACUCGACAGUAAUUGGGAGAUUUACAGCCGUGUAUAUAAGAUAGGAACAUCUCCCAAAGUUAAGUUUUGUUUACACAUUUUCGAUUGCAAUUUCUUGCGAGUGAGUUUAUAGAAUGUAAUAAAUUAUUGAUGUUAUCACCACAGAAAUAUGAAUAGUCAACAGCAUAUAAAAAAAGCAAUGUGUUUGCAUGAAUUUUCAGGUCAGACCUAUGAAUUUACUAUACUACUUUCCUGGAUGUGAAGUAAUUAUGUUUUUAAUGUUUUGUGGCUUCUUGUUGA